rnacentral:pre_miRNA from 1 species
GGCAAAGGCCGGAUGAUCCAGAUGGGGAUCCGGAUGAUCCGGGCAUCGACCGGAUGAUCCGGGUCCUCGUCCGGAUGAUCCGGCUCCGCCGA